rnacentral:tRNA from 1 species
GGCUCAUGGGUCUGCUUGGUGAAGACACCGCACUGUCACUGCGGAGAUGAGGGGUUCAAAUCCCCUAUGGGUCG